ensembl:snRNA U4 U4 spliceosomal RNA
AGCUUUGCACAGUGGCAGCAUCGUAGCCAAUGAGGUUUACCUGAGGCGCGAUGAUUGCUAAGUGAACCCUGGUCCACAUUCUU